rnacentral:rRNA from 1 species
AAAGCUCGUAGUCGAAUUUGCGACCGGGUUUUGGCCCCCCUUUGGGUUUGGCUGCUUUUCCUGACCUUUUUCCUCGAUUUUUGUUGAUGCUCUCGGGUGGGCGUGAUGAUCUACGACUACGACUUCGUUGAAAUUAUAAUGUUGCUCGCAGGCUGGUGUUUGCCUGCAUUAUGGUGCAAGGAAUAAUUAAGAAUUAGCUUUUUUCUUUUUGGUUUUUAUUGCAUUGAUAUUGAGAUCGACGGAUAUUCAGGGGCGCUUUCAUUUUGCAACCUUAGAUGAGAUUCUCGUGUUUCCUCACCACACAAUAAAGUGCAAACGCUCUUCCCGGAAGUUUUCUCUUCUCUCAAAAAAAAAUUGGAGAGGCGCGAACGAUAUCAUACACCGCGGUACUUCUCGCCAAACUAUAUGCCCCUAGGAUCGGUGGAUGACUUAAAUGAUGACUCGGCACCUUACUUCCGGGAAACCUUUUUUUUUCUGUUCCGGAGUAAGGUCGGUUGGCUAACUCAUACUUGAAUUGAUUGACGGACGGCCACCAGCAUGAAUGCAGCCUGCUACUUAGAUUCACUCAACACGGACUCACUCAGUCCGCACGGACACAGGAUUGAUUGACAGAU